rnacentral:lncRNA from 1 species
AAUUGUUGAAAAUAGAAUGGCUUAGUUUCAAUACCAAGAGGGGGGUGAAUUGGUGAAACACAAAAUCAAAGUCUUUUAAAAAUCCUUUUCAUAAAAGGAUGAUCUUUCAAAAGUUUCUUGAAACGCACGGAAUCAGAUUUUUUCAAAUGCAGCAGAAUAUAGUUGACUACAUGAAAAGUAAAGUCGACUUUGAAAAUAAAAAUGCAGGGAUAAAGAAUUCAAACGCAGGUUUUUAUGCUGGUUCGGCUAAACCGCCUACAUCCAGUGAUGGAAGCAUCUCCAUGAUACACAAAAGAAUGCUCCAAGUCGCAGAGAAGUGGCAGCGGAGUGAUGUAGAAGAUGGAGUCCGAAUUGCACUAAAGGUGUUUGUGAAAAUGUCUGGUGAUGUUGGAUGGAUGUUUAUGGUAGAAUUAUAGCUCAGGCAGCCUUCCAAAGGGGAAAGGAGCUAUAGGAGGUGCCAGAUAACAAGGCACAAGGUUGAACUUGAGAGGAUAGCUGAGAAUUCAACAACAUUUCAUUACUCCAAAUCAAGUUACAUCUACAAGUGAUGAAGCUCUCUAUUUAUAGGAGAAGGAGAGCUCUCAAGUGUGUAGUAGAAGCUAUCCUAAUGGAAACGUGAUAGAAAUUAAAGGCAGCUUACAGAGGAAGCUUGUCCAGUUGGCUAGGUGCUCCAUCUGAAUUACGUGCUCAAGGAAGAAGACACUUCUCGUCACCGCUGGGCGGUGGGAAUCAUG